AGGUCGGGCAGUCGUGCGGCAUAGCCCUUGGGCGACGCCGUAAGGAAAGUCCGGACAUCACAAAGAUAUGACAGCGGGUAACGCCCGCCCGGGGUAACCCGAGGGACAGUGCAACAGAAAACAAACUACCUGUUAUGCAGGAAAAGGUGAAAAGGUGUGGUAAGAGCGCACCGCGAUCUUGGUAACAAGAUUGGCAGUGUAAACCCUGUCAGAUGCAAGCCCAAAUAGGCGUUUCAAAUAACGUAUCUUUGCGUUGAAAUGCGGGUAGGGCGCUGGAGAUGAUUGGCGACAAUCAUCCAAGAUGAAUGACUGCCGCCGUUUCUUCCCCUUAUUGUGGAAGGACCGUGCACAGAAUCCGGCUUACAGACCUUCC
rnacentral:RNase_P_RNA from 1 species